rnacentral:ncRNA from 1 species
AAGUUUUAUUCUUGCUUUAGGUGUUUACUUUAACAUUAAAUCUAUAUGUGAAUAUGUGUAAUUCAAAAUAUCUAGAAGAUAAUUUAGUAGGAGGAAAAUGAGGCAGUAGAUAAUAUUAUUGAUAUUAAGAAAUCUUAGAUUUAGUAAAUGUUAUUAGGAUUGGUAAAAAUUGUGCCAGCAUCCGCGGUUAUACAAUAAAUUCAAGUGAAUAAUUUUGGUAUUAAAGUAAUUACUAGCUUAUAAAUAAUUACAGUAGGUAAUUUUAUGGUGAAAUAUUAAAAUGCUUUGUUGUUUAUUAAAUUUGAGUAGGAAAGAGUUAUGAAAUUAAAAACGUAAACUAGGAUUAGAUACCCUAUUAUUUUUAAUGUAAAAUUGAUUUAAGGCCUGAGUAUUAUUAGUUAUGAUCUUGAAACUUAAAGAAUUUGGCGGUAUUAUAGUCUAUUUAGAGGAAUCUGUUAUGUAAUCGAUAGUCCACGUUAAACCUUACUUAUAUAAAUUUCUUGUAUACCGCUGUUUAUGAAUAUACUUUUAGGUUAUUUUCUUGAUAAAUAAAUAAUUAAGAUUUCAAGUCAAGGUGCAGUAAUAUAUAAGAUAAAUAAUGGAUUACAAUAAAUUAUAUUUAUAUGAAUAAUUAUUGGUAAAGUAAUUUGAAGGUGGAUUUAAUUGUAAUUUUUUUAAGAUUAUAAAAAUGAUUAGAAGCUCUAUAAUAUGUACACAUCGCCCGUCACUCUCGUUAUUAAGAUGAGAUAAGUCGUAACAAAGUAAGUGUAUCGGAAGAUGUACUUAGAAUUCAGAUU